CUCUGGGGCCACUGGUUAGUGCUCAGAUUUACAUUUCAGUGCCUUUUCACUUAACUGAAGGGAUGCUGCUGUAACUGGAAAGCCACACUGGCAGAAGAGCUGCUUGUGAGAUCACAGAACGAGAAGCUCCUCUGAGCUCCGGGAAAUCAUGUUCUACUUUCUGCUGGAUUGGAUUCCAGUCUGCAAACCAGACCUGGCACUGUGGGCCUGAGCCUGCCCUGCACUCACAGCCUGGCAGGGGAUGGGAACCAGGUGGACACUGCAGCAAGAUCUGCUCUCAGCUGUGUGGUUUGGGGAGGCAGGACCUGUGCCUGGGAUGCUGAGUACUUCAUCCAGGGUAAUCCAUCCCCAACCUUCCAGCAGCACUCCAUUCACAUCAGAAACUGAAUCCUGCUUCUGAUUGAUCCAUCUCAGGAAUUCUUCCAGACUCGCUUUAAAUUCCGAGAAAUCAGUAUUUGACUUCUUUGAGCAGCUCUUGUUGAAUG